UCUCUAUUAAAUCGCGUUAAAAAAAUCGAAAUUUUAUCUCAAUUCAUCAUUACUUUUUAAUCGAUAAUAUUGGUAUCCCCAAUCUGGUCGCAAUUUCCUCUCUAUUAAAUCGCGUUCGAAAAAAAUCGAAAUUUUGUCUCAAUUUACCAUGAAUUUUAGAAUUUGUUUGGUUUACUUGCAAUCGUUGGCAUUUUUCUGAAAGAUGAAUUUUUUCAUUUGGGCGCCGAUAUUCAAUGCUAAUUCCGCUGAAAAAUACGCAAUGUAUAUUACCAUAUAUUACCAUUUGAUAUAAGUCAUCAUUUUUUAGUUUCUUUGAAUUUUAAACUUAAAAAUGUGGAACAAAGAAAGGAAAAUUUUAAUUCACUCACCGAAAUAACCCUUAGAAACCAUAUUUUUCACACAAAACAAAUUCAGGUUUUUUUCAUUGGGCGCGAUGAUGUUCAAUGCUAAUUCCGCUGAAAAAUACGCGAUAUAUAUUCCCAUAUAAUCCCUCUAGAUAAGUCAUCAUUUUUCAGUUUUUUGAAUUUUAAACUUAAAAAUGUGGAACAAAGAAAGCAAAAUUUUAAUUCACUCACCAAAAUAACCCUCAGAAACCAACUCUUUCACACAAAACAAACUUAGGUGCUUUUGAAGACUUAAGAGAAAAAUAGCUAUAAUUACGCUUUGAUAAAGCAACUUUUUUUAAUAAUUCUCAUCAAAAACUUCAAUGUUUUUUAAAAAAGAAACGCAAAAUUUGGAUCCAGCGACCCAAAUUACCCCUUACAACAUACAUUCUCUCAUAUUAGCAAUUUCACACGCCUAUGAGGACUUUUGUUCAGCUAAACUCGGCUGCUGGCCCUCCGUGCGACGUGAUUACGCGGUAGAGGGAGUUGUUGGUUUUCAUCUCGGAUACUCCAAUUCCCUUCAGUCAUCGUUUCGCUUGCCGUCUCGCGAGUUAUUUUGCGUGUUUAGCUUGUUUCUAGUUCCUAAUGAUGACUCGUUUCAUGUUGUUACUUCUAUCCAUUCAUACACUUAAUGCCCUUCUGAUGCCCGAAGAUGAAGUACCAACAGAUGACGGAAAUAAAUCCCACUUACCACCCCUUGCGGUAAGCAAACUUCCAUUUUUGACAUUCAUUUUGAAUAUAUAGGAGCCACCAGGGACGAUAUUUGUAGAAAGAAAGUUGUGGCUAUUUUGGUGAUGAGGGGACAGAUAUGAGGAAUCGGGACUGAGUUGUGGAAAGUCCUUAUUGACAAGAAUAAAUUAUGCUCUCAAAAGAGCAAGAAGGAAUUUUUUAGGGGAAUUUUAAUGGAUUAAAUUAGGAAUAAAACGAGAGAAAUCGUUACUGCAUACACUGGGAUAAUCUCAUUAAAGCGGGAUAAACUAGAAUAAAUCGUGACUCA
rnacentral:lncRNA from 1 species